rnacentral:rRNA from 1 species
UACAGAGGCCACGAGCGUUAGGCGGAAUCACUGGGCUUAAAGCGUGUGUAGGUGGAUGACUAAGUACCUUGUGAAAUCCCACGGCUCAACCGUGGAACUGCUUGGUAUACUGGUUGUCUUGAGGCACUCAGGGGCGAGCGGAACAGAUGGUGGAGCGGUGAAAUGCGUAGAUAUCAUCUGGAACGCCAAUGGUGAAGACAGCUCGCUGGGGGUGUACUGACACUGAGGUGCGAAAGCGUGGGGAGCAAACAGG